rnacentral:rRNA from 1 species
GAGAGAUGUGUGAUGACGCAUAUCAAUAAGCGGAGGAAAAGAAACUAACAAGGAUUCCCUUAGUAACGGCGAGUGAAGCGGGAAGAGCUCAAAUUUGAAAUCUUCAAGGUUCUACCUUGACGAAUUGUAGUUUAUAGAAGUGUUUUCUGUUAGUGGAGUGGCAAAAGUUCUUUGGAAUAGGACAUCAUAGAGGGUGAGAAUCCCGUAUUUGGUCAUUCCUCCUAGCGUUGUGAUACACUUUCAACGAGUCGGAUUGUUUGGGAAUGCAGUCCAAAAUGGGUGGUAAAUUUCAUCUAAAGCUAAAUAUUGGCGAGAGACCGAUAGCGAACAAGUACCGUGAGGGAAAGAUGAAAAGAACUUUGAAAAGAGAGUUAAACAGUACGUGAAAUUGUCAAAGGGAAGCGUUUGACACCAGUGUUGUUUUUCCGAAAAUCAAUUACGAAUGUUUUAGUUUUUGAGGAGUUAUGACUUCAUCGGCUUGCUCCUUUCUUUAUGAAACUUUCUUAAUGCACUUUUCGGUUAACAAGUCAACAUCAAUUUCUUUUGUUGUAAAAGGGUAUGAGGAAGGUGGCUUUCUUUUCGGAGAAAGUGUUUAUAGCCUUGUGCCUCUGCAAUCGGAGAGAUUGAGGUCUGCAGCGUAGAUCCUUCGGGGUUAGAUACGUUUGUGCUAAGUUAUAGCUUUUCAUAGACAACUUGUUGACUAUGUUUAGUCUUGUAGCUUACUCGCUUACGCUAUUUUACCUACGCUUAGGAUGUUGAACUCUAUCACACACAG